AUAGAUAUACCAUAUAAACUGCAGAAAUAAAGAUCUAUUGAAAUUGAUUAUAAUGAAGAUCGUUACAGGCAAAAACUGCGUAAGAAUAAUAUAUACUAUGGGAUAUACAAAACAGACACACGCAUGAAUAUAAUUAUAGGUAUUAACGAUGUGAUUCGUAUUUACUAUACUAAAAAGGAAAGUGGACGAUGGAAAUUGACGUAGUAAAGCACCGAAAAAACCUCAAGAGAUUUAUAUGAAGACACAAAGAGUAUAAUAUUACUGGUUGCAUGACAACUUUGUUAUACUCGUAUUUACUAAAGCCCCGCACGGGCCGACAAAAGUAGAUCUUG